GGGGAUGUACCGGUUUCGACGGGGGUGCGGAGGCAGAAAUAGCGGGCGGAUGCGCCUAACAUCCUUAAAAUGGGCAGCUUAUAAAUUAAAGAACAACAACGAUACUGUUCUUCUCGCUGCUUAAUAGCGAGCGUUCCCUCCGGGAGUACCACGGCCCGGAGCCGAGCGUCGAUCAGUGGUAACCGUGAGUGCGCAAAGCUUUGAGCGCACCAUGCAUAAUGAAGCUACCGAGCCUGUGAGCAUGAAGGCCUGCGCAUGGGCGAGGGAAUGUAAAUGACCCUCUGCGCCCGGAGAGGUUUCUGUUAAAGCGCUUUCGGACGGGGGUUCAACUCCCCCCAUCUCCACCA
rnacentral:tmRNA from 1 species